rnacentral:rRNA from 1 species
GACGAAGGAUGCAAGCGUUAUCCGGAUUCAUUGGGUUUAAAGGGCUCGUAGGCGGCCAACUAAGUCAGACGUGAAAUCCCUCGGCUUAACCGGGGAACUGCGUCUGAUACUGGAUGGCUAGAGUUUGGGAGAGGGAUGCGGAAUUCCAGGUGUAGCGGUGAAAUGCGUAGAUAUCUGGAGGAACACCGGUGGCGAAGGCGGCAUCCUGGACCAACACUGACGCUGAGGAGCGAAAGCCAGGGGAGCAAACGGG